ACUCCUACGGGAGGCAGCAGUGGGGAAUAUUGCACAAUGGGCGCAAGCCUGAUGCAGCCAUGCCGCGUGUGUGAAGAAGGCCUUCGGUUGUAAAGCACUUUCAGUCGUGAGGAAGGUAGUGUAGUUAAUAGCUGCAUUAUUUGACGUUAGCGACAGAAGAAGCACCGGCUAACUCCGUGCCAGCAGCCGCGGUAAUACGGAGGGUGCGAGCGUUAAUCGGAAUUACUGGGCGUAAAGCGCAUGCAGGUGGUUUGUUAAGUCAGAUGUGAAAGCCCGGGGCUCAACCUCGGAAUAGCAUUUGAAACUGGCAGACUAGAGUACUGUAGAGGGGGUAGAAUUUCAGGUGUAGCGGUGAAAUGCGUAGAGAUCUGAAGGAAUACCGGUGGCGAAGGCGGCCCCCUGGACAGAUACUGACACUCAGAUGCGAAAGCGUGGGGAGCAAACAGGAUUAGAUACCCUGGUAGCACAGAG
rnacentral:rRNA from 1 species